GAGGGUUAUGAUUUGUUCUGCCGC
rnacentral:siRNA from 1 species